rnacentral:piRNA from 1 species
GCCAAACUCUACAAUUCUACCUACCAACUC